UACGGAGGGGGCUAGCGUUGUUCGGAAUUACUGGGCGUAAAGCGCGCGUAGGCGGCUUUGUAAGUCAGAGGUGAAAGCCUGGAGCUCAACUCCAGAACUGCCUUUGAGACUGCAUCGCUAGAAUCAUGGAGAGGUAAGUGGAAUUCCGAGUGUAGAGGUGAAAUUCGUAGAUAUUCGGAAGAACACCAGUGGCGAAGGCGACUUACUGGACAUGUAUUGACGCUGAGGAGCGAAAGCGUGGGGAGCGAACAGG
rnacentral:rRNA from 1 species